GAGAGUCUGUGGUCAACCUGGAGAACUUUAAGAAGCAGUAUGUCCGCAGGCGGUGGAAGCCAGCCGUCCUCUUUUUGAUUUCCUCAGCUGUCCUUCAGCAUCGUCUCCCUGUGCAACCACCUCACUCGCUCCCUGAUGAAGAAGGUGCACUUGAGGACAAGUGAGGACCUGAGGAACUGCGAGAGUGACACGGAGGAGAACAUUGCCAGGAGGAAAGCCCUUCACCCCCGGAGGAGGAGCAGUACCUCCUAACUGAUCCGGCACCUGCUUGUCACCAGGAUCCAGACAUUUUGUGUUCCUGAGCACUUUGCAAGAGAGAGGAGUCUGCAGGACUCAGAACUUUCAGGAGACCCUGGGAGUUGUGGCUAUCUCCUGGUGGGGAGCCUCCAGCAUUCCUCAAGCUCUUAGUUCUCCAGAAAACUGGCUUUCAUCUGUCUGCUAACCUCAGAAGCUGGGAAUGGGUGUGGACUGAGGAAAUGGAUCUCAAGGAAUAUCGUGGUUGUUGUUGUUGUUGUUGUUUUUACCACAGGUUAAAGGUCAGAUUUAGGCAGCUUUCCUCACAAGGUGACAGAGUACAGAACCAACUGGUGUAGCAGCCAUACCAGGAAGACAAGCCUACCCUAUCAGAGUAAAGACUCUCUAGAGUGAGGGACCAAUCCUGUGACUUUACAAGAAUCCAUAAGGAGUCAGGCUGUCUCAUGUCAGACUGUGUCUGCCAGCCUCUUGCCAGCUCACUGUGUUGUUUUUUUUCUCAUUUUUAUUAUUAAACUUCUUGUUUAUCUAA
rnacentral:lncRNA from 1 species